AUUGAACGCUGGCGGCAUGCCUUACACAUGCAAGUCGAACGGUAACAGGUCUUCGGAUGCUGACGAGUGGCGAACGGGUGAGUAAUACAUCGGAACGUGCCCGAGAGUGGGGGAUAACGAAGCGAAAGCUUUGCUAAUACCGCAUACGAUCUCAGGAUGAAAGCAGGGGACCGCAAGGCCUUGCGCUCACGGAGCGGCCGAUGGCAGAUUAGGUAGUUGGUGGGAUAAAAGCUUACCAAGCCGACGAUCUGUAGCUGGUCUGAGAGGACGACCAGCCACACUGGGACUGAGACACGGCCCAGACUCCUACGGGAGGCAGCAGUGGGAAUUUGGACAAUGGGCGCAAGCCUGAUCCAGCCAUGCCGCGUGCAGGAUGAAGGCCUUCGGGUUGUAAACUGCUUUGUACGGAACGAAAAGACUCUGGUUAAUACCGUGGGUCCAGUGACGGUACCGUAAGAAGUAAGCGACCGGACUAACACGUAGCCAGCCGCCGUAACC
rnacentral:rRNA from 1 species